rnacentral:rRNA from 1 species
AAUAUUGGACAAUGGGCGAAAGCCUGAUCCAGCGAUCCCGCGUGGGUGAAGAAGGCCUGCGGGUUGUAAAGCACUUUCGGUCGGGAAGAAAAGGCAUGACCUAAUACGUGGGGGUAUUGACGGAACCCACAGAAGAAGCACCGGCUAACUAUGUGCCAGCAGCCGCGGUAAUACGGAGGGUGCGAGCGUUAAUCGGAAUUACUGGGCGUAAAGCGCGCGUAGGCGGUUCUGCAAGUCAGAUGUGAAAUCCCAGGGCUCAACCUUGGAACUGCAUUUGAGACUGCAGAGCUAGAGUAUGGUAGAGGGGAGUGGAAUUCCGGGUGUAGCGGUGAAAUGCGUAGAUAUCGGGAGGAACACCAGUGGCGAAGGCGGCUUCCUGGCCCAAUACUGACGCUCAGGCGCGAAAGCGUGGGGAGCAAACAGG